UGGGCCGUGGGCAGGCGGUUGGCCGCCUGGUUCCAGACCAGGGACCGGGGGCCGUCGAGGACCUCGGAGGUGAUCUCCUCCCCGCGGACGGC
rnacentral:tRNA from 1 species